GGUCGGACAAUCAGCAACAUGAAGGGCAAGAAAUGGUACAGGAAAGGAAUUCUGAUGCUGUAGUUGCAGAAGUGCCAACAGAGAGCAGGACAGUGGUUGAUGAAAAGCACGCGGCUUCCUCUCCACUACAAGCAGGUGAAAAGAAGGGAGAUAAUGCAAGUAGGUCAAGUAGUUCGAGCAGCUCGGGUAAUGAGAGAAUUUGC